UACGACUACAUAUCAGGCAUAUCAAUAAGCGGAGGAAAAGAAACUAACAAGGAUUCCCUUAGUAACGGCGAGUGAAGCGGGAAGAGCUCAAAUUUGAAAUCUUCAAGGGUUCUACCUUUACGAAUUGUAGUUUAAAGAAGUGUUUUCUGUUAGAGGAGUAGGCUAAAAGUUCCUUGGAAUAGGGACAUCAUAGAGGGUGAGAAUCCCGUAUUUGACGUUAUUCUUUCUAGCUGUGUGAUACACUUUCAAAGAGUCGGAUUGUUUGGGAAUGCAGUCCAAAAUGGGUGGUAAAUUUCAUCUAAAGCUAAAUAUUGGCGAGAGACCGAUAGCGAACAAGUACCGUGAGGGAAAGAUGAAAAGAACUUUGAAAAGAGAGUUAAACAGUACGUGAAAUUGUCAAAAGGGAAGCGUUUGACACCAGUGUUGUUUAGUUCGAAAAUCAAUUAAUAGUGCUUGAUUUUAGUGUUAGUAUUGACCUUAUCAGCUUGCUUCACUCUUUUCUCAGAAGUCUUUCUUGAAUGCACCUUUCAGGUUAACAAGUCAACAUCAAUUUCUUUUGUUGUAAAAGGGUAAUUGAGGAAGGUGGCUUGCGCUUUCGGAUAAAGUGUUUAUAGCCUUUAUACCUCUAGCAAUCGGAGAGAUUGAGGUCUGCAGCGUAGAUCCUUCGGGGCUAGAUACACUUGGUGCUAAGUUAUAGCUUGUCAUAGACAACUUGUUGACUAUGCUUAGUCAUGUAGCUUACCUCGCUUGAUGCUAUUUUACCUACGCUUAGGAUGUUGAUCUACAGAGCGAGAGU
rnacentral:rRNA from 1 species